UGCAGUCGAGCGGAACGAUGGGAGCUUGCUCCCAGGCGUCGAGCGGCGGACGGGUGAGUAACACUUAGGAAUCUACCUAGUAGUGGGGGAUAGCUCGGGGAAACUCGAAUUAAUACCGCAUACGUCCUACGGGAGAAAGGGGGCAACUUGUUGCUCUCGCUAUUAGAUGAGCCUAAGUCGGAUUAGCUAGUUGGUGGGGUAAAGGCCUACCAAGGCGACGAUCUGUAGCUGGUCUGAGAGGAUGAUCAGCCACACCGGGACUGAGACACGGCCCGGACUCCUACGGGAGGCAGCAGUGGGGAAUAUUGGACAAUGGGGGCAACCCUGAUCCAGCCAUGCCGCGUGUGUGAAGAAGGCCUUUUGGUUGUAAAGCACUUUAAGCAGUGAAGAAGACCUAACGGUUAAUACCCGUUAGCGAUGACAUUAGCUGCAGAAUAAGCACCGGCUAACUCUGUGCCAGCAGCCGCGGUAAUACAGAGGGUGCAAGCGUUAAUCGGAAUUACUGGGCGUAAAGCGAGCGUAGGUGGCUUGAUAAGUCAGAUGUGAAAUCCCCGGGCUUAACCUGGGAACUGCAUCUGAUACUGUCAGGCUAGAAUAGGUGAGAGGAAGGUAGAAUUCCAGGUGUAGCGGUGAAAUGCGUAGAGAUCUGGAGGAAUACCGAUGGCGAAGGCAGCCUUCUGGCAUCAUAUUGACACUGAGGUUCGAAAGCGUGGGUAGCAAACAGGAUUAGAUACCCUGGUAGUCCACGCCGUAAACGAUGUCUACUAGUCGUUGGGUCCCUUGAGGACUUAGUGACGCAGCUAACGCAAUAAGUAGACCGCCUGGGGAGUACGGCCGCAAGGUUAAAACUCAAAUGAAUUGACGGGGGCCCGCACAAGCGGUGGAGCAUGUGGUUUAAUUCGAUGCAACGCGAAGAACCUUACCUGGUCUUGACAUAUCUAGAAUCCUGCAGAGAUGCGGGAGUGCCUUCGGGAAUUAGAAUACAGGUGCUGCAUGGCUGUCGUCAGCUCGUGUCGUGAGAUGUUGGGUUAAGUCCCGCAACGAGCGCAACCCUUGUCCUUAGUUACCAGCGGGUUAAGCCGGGAACUCUAAGGAUACUGCCAUUGACAAACUGGAAGGAAGGCGGGAACAACUUCAAGUCAUCAUGGCCCUUACAACCAGGGCU
rnacentral:rRNA from 1 species